UUAGGCUGGAUCCAUGUAUGCAAAUGUGACUC
rnacentral:piRNA from 1 species